AAUUAUAAAGUAAUCUAACUUCUUAAGCUUAUUAUAUGCAAAGAAGAAAAAAUGAUUCAAAUCCUCAAAUUUAUGUAUCCUUUGAUAGUCUUUCUUUCUUUAUUUCUUGUUGUAACAAAUGCCAUCAAGGGUAAUCGUCCAAGCAGACCUACAAUCUAUUCUCCAUUCCGUUGUAAAAAUCUUUGGGAUUGUUGGUAUAAAGCAUGUCGCAUUCCUUUAAAACCUCGAUGCGUUUCUUUUUUGUGUGAGUGUGUGGAAGGAGAAUCAAGUUGAAAAAUAGUUCUAUGUUACUUUAAGCUCAAAAAUAACUUAUUGUAAUAUAAUAAAAUCAUUCUUACAUGUUCAUUUUGCUCAUAAUAUAUAAUGAAAACUGCAUCUUGACUAUAUAUUUAUGUAAGAAUUAUAGGCCUUGUAUUUUCAUUGAUAUUAUCGGUGUUAUAUACAAUAAGGAUUUUCAUAAAUAGUCUUAUAUACUAUCAUUACUAUUCUAUAAAUAGAGAUAUGUACAAUUAUGACCUAAUACAGUAAUAGUCUAAUACACCUUCGUAGUCGAAACGGGAGGUUGAUGAAUGUUGAGAUUAUCACAAAAAUCAUCAAAGAGUUUGUAAUACGGUGGGAGAACUGACUUUUUAUUUUGUUUCUUGCAAAACAUGUUGCGGUUAACAAGAGUCGCCACCGAAUUUUCUUUUAUCCAAUAAGGAAAAGUUGAAAAGAACAGGAAAGACCUUGAUAGAUUUUGAGUUCGGGGUAGGUUAUACAAAGGGAAGGUACUAGCACCCUUUGUAUCCAUGGUUAUCCAUGGGCUCUUAAUUGCUUAACUCACUUUAAUUUGCUUUGUCUGAUAAGUUGUGUGUAUUUAUAAAAUACUUCGAAAAAGUUUAACUUUGUAAUGAUUCUCGUAUGAAUGUAUACAAAGUGCUUUUUUAAAGUAUUUAUGAAAGAGUGAUGUUUGGAAAUAUUUUGUAAAAAACUUGACUUUGUAAUGAUUCGUGUAAGAAUGUAUACAAAGUAUUUGCUUUUUGAAAAUAACUUUGAAAGUAUGAGGUGUGAAAAUGAUUUUUGAGUGUGAGCAAGCAAUUAGGAGCAUCUACCCACUAAGUAUUGGUCUUUCCUAUUUUUGUUCCAUUUCCUUUGGAGAGAGUAUUAUCCAUGCCAUUAGUUGGUAGGAAAUCCUAUCUAUUGGAUGAGAAGGGACAGGCGUAGGGUCAUUGAAUGGUCAUAGAAGGCAACAUGUAAGGAUACCUUAACAAUUCGAAGGGACUAUCAUCAUUUUUCCGUAGGGUCAUCGAGGGACAAGAUCAUAUUUUCGUAGCAACUCGAAGGGUCAUCGAGGGACUGUGAUUUUCUAUCGAAGGGACUAUGAUGAUUUAUUCGUAGGCAACUUUUGUUAAGAUAUCUCUACGUUCGAGGGACAUGACCAAGUAAUCGAAAGGCAACGAGGAGAGGUUACCCUAGGGGUGCAAGUGUGCAAGAAAGUAAAGUGCAGA